UUGCUUUGGUGGCACAUAUACUAAAAUUGGAAGGAUACAGAGAUUAGCAUGGUCCCUGAACAAGAAUGAUAUGCAAAUUUGUGAAGCAUUCCAUAUUGUU
rnacentral:snRNA from 1 species